UUUAAAAUGAGAGUUUGAUCCUGGCUCAGGACGAACGCUGGCGGCGUGCCUAAUACAUGCAAGUCGAACGAAA
rnacentral:rRNA from 1 species